UACGGAGGGUGCAAGCGUUAAUCGGAAUUACUGGGCGUAAAGCGCACGCAGGUGGCUGAGUCAGUCGAUUGUGAAAGCCCUGGGCUUAACCUGGGAAUUGCAGUCGAUACUACUCAGCUAGAGUAUGGGAGAGGGUAGUGGAAUUCCCGGUGUAGCGGUGAAAUGCGUAGAUAUCAGGAGGAACACCGGUGGCGAAGGCGGUUCUCUGGGCAUGAUCUGACGCUGAGGAGCGAAAGUGUGGGGAGCGAACAGG
rnacentral:rRNA from 1 species